AGUGAAGCAGGGCAGAAGCUGGAAGAUGUCUUUCAGUCCUCGUAUAAAACAAAAGGGUCAUGUAGAAAAGAAAAAAAAAAAAAAAAUUAUAUAUACAGAUACAUGUGUUCCCAACAUGAUGAGGAAGUUUGACAGUAGAAAAAUAUAGAGCCUUUAUCAAAGUCACUUCGCCAGAAAAUAAAUCCAACACGCAAAAUUCAGGAUCAUUCCUACAAAGUGUUUAGUUAUCGAGACAAAUCCAAACUGCAGGAGGCUGAACUGAAGGCAUUUUGGCAUUUUGAACUCAUAGC